CCUACGGGUGGCAGCAGUGGGGAAUAUUGGACAAUGGGCGAAAGCCUGAUCCAGCCAUGCCGCGUGUGUGAAGAAGGCCUUCGGGUUGUAAAGCACUUUCAGUGGGGAAGAAAGCCUUGGGGCGAAUACCCUCGAGGAAGGACAUCACCCACAGAAGAAGCACCGGCUAACUCCGUGCCAGCAGCCGCGGUAAUACGGAGGGUGCGAGCGUUAAUCGGAAUUACUGGGCGUAAAGCGCGCGUAGGCGGUCUGAUAAGCCGGUUGUGAAAGCCCCGGGCUCAACCUGGGAACGGCAUCCGGAACUGUCAGGCUAGAGUGCAGGAGAGGAAGGUAGAAUUCCCGGUGUAGCGGUGAAAUGCGUAGAGAUCGGGAGGAAUACCAGUGGCGAAGGCGGUCUUCUGGACUGACACUGACGCUGAGGUGCGAAAGCGUGGGUAGCAAACAGGAUUAGAUACCCGAGUAGUC
rnacentral:rRNA from 1 species